AUUGAACGCUGGCGGCAGGCCUAACACAUGCAAGUCGAACGGUAACAGGAAACAGCUUGCUGUUUCGCUGACGAGUGGCGGACGGGUGAGUAAUGUCUGGGAAACUGCCUGAUGGAGGGGGAUAACUACUGGAAACGGUAGCUAAUACCGCAUAACGUCGCAAGACCAAAGAGGGGGACCUUCGGGCCUCUUGCCAUCGGAUGUGCCCAGAUGGGAUUAGCUAGUAGGUGGGGUAACGGCUCACCUAGGCGACGAUCCCUAGCUGGUCUGAGAGGAUGACCAGCCACACUGGAACUGAGACACGGUCCAGACUCCUACGGGAGGCAGCAGUGGGGAAUAUUGCACAAAGGGCGCAAGCCUGAUGCAGCCAUGCCGCGUGUAUGAAGAAGGCCUUCGGGUUGUAAAGUACCUUCAGCGGGGAGGAAGGGAGUAAAGUUAAUACCUUUACUCAUUGACGUUACCCGCAGAAGAAGCACCGGCUAACUCCGUG
rnacentral:rRNA from 1 species